ACAUCCUCUUUUCUUUUGAGUCUUUGUUUAUACAUUGACUUUGGCAUGUGUCUCUAACCUCCUACACAUUUUUUCUAUCGAGAUACACAAUGCUUCUUGA